rnacentral:lncRNA from 1 species
GACAUUCUAGACUUAUUGAAAUUUUGUUAAGCCCUAAGCAUACACUAUAAAUAACUUCAUUGUCCAUGACACUAGGACUCACCAUCAAAAAAACCAGAAACGGCGGACACUAUCGAGGAAUCAGAAAAAGUGAAAAAAGAGAAUUCUAUUUGGUUUUUUCUUCGGUAGGAAAAAUGUAUUCUUCUUUAUAAAAAGUGAAAACUUUCUUUCAUCAACAUCAAACAAAAGCCUUAACUUUAUUCCUCACUAUCCCAUUUCAAUUAUCUCACUUCUUGCUGCUACUUUAAAACACAAAAUGACCAUCCUUCCACAACACCAUAUGCAUCCUUCAUUUUCCUAUAACAAACUUCUCAAUAUUACUAUCAUUUUCUUCUUCACAAAUUACUCUUCAUUUAUCAUUACUACAAACACUCACCAUAAAAGACUUGUUUUUUUUCCACCAUAACCCCCCUGUUGUCUUAUUUCAUUUGAUAGUUUGUUGAUUUAUA